UACAGAGGCCUCAAGCGUUGUUCGGAUUCAUUGGGCGUAAAGGGUGCGUAGGUGGCAUGGUAAGUUGAAGGUGAAAUCUCGGAGCUCAACUCCGAAACUGCCUUCAAUACUGCUGUGCUCGAGGACUGUAGAGGAGAUUGGAAUUUACGGUGUAGCAGUGAAAUGCGUAGAUAUCGUAAGGAAGACCAGUGGCGAAGGCGAAUCUCUGGACAGUUACUGACACUGAGGCACGAAGGCCAGGGGAGCAAACGGG
rnacentral:rRNA from 1 species